UGUACGUAGUUAAAUAUCAGCUAAUAUUCAACUGUAAAGUAGCUACACCUUUUAAAGAAUCCCUUGGUAAACCAGCCUCUUUCAAACCAGCUUUCAACGGUUUGUUCGAAUUCUGCAUUAGCAAAACACACACACAAAAAAAAUAUUAUUUAUAUAUAUAUAUAAAAAAAUGAUACAUCUUUUCCCAGACAAGUGACUUUUGUGCAUGGACAAGUGAAACGUAAAUGUACUUGUCCAAAGGACAAGUGCCUCAAAAAGUUAAUGUCAAGCCCUGGGCAGUGUGAAACAGCAGCUG